GGCCUUGCUGUGUGAUGAAAGCAGCGUUGGUAGGGACAUCUGAGACCGCUGAUGAAGGCCAACGUCUCUGACGCGGGGCC
ensembl:snoRNA